rnacentral:tRNA from 1 species
GAGGGUGUAGCUCAGUUGGUUAGAGUACUUGCUUGACAUGCAAGGGGUCGAUGGUUCAAAUCCAUUCAUCCUCA